rnacentral:rRNA from 1 species
GAUGAACGCUGGCGGCGUGCCUAAUACAUGCAAGUCGAGCGAACAGAUGAGGAGCUUGCUCCUCUGACGUUAGCGGCGGACGGGUGAGUAACACGUGGAUAACCUACCUAUAAGACUGGGAUAAAUUCGGGAAACCGGAGCUAAUACCGGAUAAUAUAUUGAACCGCAUGGUUCAAUAGUGAAAGACGGUUUUGCUGUCACUUAUAGAUGGAUCCGCGCCGCAUUAGCUGGUUGGUAAGGUAACGGCUUACCAAGGCAACGAUGCGUAGCCGACCUGAGAGGGUGAUCGGCCACACUGGAACUGAGACACGGUCCAGACUCCUACGGGAGGCAGCAGUAGGGAAUCUUCCGCAAUGGGCGAAAGCCUGACGGAGCAACGCCGCGUGAGUGAUGAAGGUCUUCGGAUCGUAAAACUCUGUUAUUAGGGAAGAACAAAUGUGUAAGUAACUAUGCACGUCUUGACGGUACCUAAUCAGAAAGCCACGGCUAACUACGUG